ensembl:lncRNA
GAAAUUCAGCGGCAGGUUUUUAAUACUACACAAUAUGCUGCUCACCCUAAGGCCUUUACUUUCAAUGCUCCGCUAGUGGAUUCUAGGCAGAUUUGCAAAACCUUGUUUGUUAAGCUCUUGCUUUUAUCUUGACUUAGAGGGAAGGGGGGAUCCCUACAGCUUGUCUCUCACUCAACCAUAGUCUACACUUCUACACAUGUUUUAUACUGUUCUGGAUUUGGUUCUAUCCAGGAGGUACAGUUAAAUUUCAACCUGAUUUGGUUCUAUCCAGGAGGUACAGUUAAUUUCAACCUGAUUUGGUUCUAUCCAGGAGGUACAGUUAAUUUCAACCUGAUUUGGUUCUAUCCAGGAGGUACAGUUAAUUUCAACCUGAUUUGGUUCUAUCCAGGAGGUACAGUUAAUUUCAACCUGAUUUGGUUCUAUCCAGGAGGUACAGUUAAUUUCAACCUGAUUUGGUUUUAUCCAUUAAGAUUGACAGAGCCC